UACGUAGGGGCCAAGCGUUGUCCGGAUUUAUUGGGCGUAAAGAGCUCGUAGGCGGUUGGGUAAGUCGGGUGUGAAAACUCCAGGCUCAGCUUGGAGAUGCCACCCGAUACUGCUCUGACUUGAGUUCGGUAGGGGAGUGGGGAAUUCCUGGUGUAGCGGUGAAAUGCGCAGAUAUCAGGAGGAACACCGGUGGCGAAGGCGCCACUCUGGGCCGAAACUGACGCUGAGGAGCGAAAGCGUGGGUAGCAAACAGG
rnacentral:rRNA from 1 species